AGAGUUGGCGAGGGAGUUGCGGGUUUGUCGGUUUUGACGAAUCUGAGGAAAGUCCGGGCUCCCGAAAGACCAAACUUGCUGGGUAACACCCAGUGCGUGCGAGCGUGAGGAUAGUGCCACAGAAAAAUACCGCCUUUUUUAGUUAACAGUGAAAAAGGUAAGGGUGCAAAGGUGCGGUAAGAGCGCACCAGCAGUAUCGUGAGGUGCUGGCUCGGUAAACCCCGGUUGGGAGCAAGGUCGGAGGGGCGACGGUUGGUCUUUUACCGGUCCCGUUUUAGGUGUACCGCUUGAGGUGUUUGGUAACAAGCAUCCCAGAUAGAUAACUCUCCUGAUCAAUGGCAACGUUGAUUGAGAACAGAACCCGGCUUAUGUGCAACUCUCUCC
rfam:Cyanothece sp. PCC 7822, complete genome.